UACAGAGGUCUCAAGCGUUGUUCGGAUUCAUUGGGCGUAAAGGGUGCGUAGGCGGCGCGGUAAGUCGGGUGUGAAAUUUCGAGGCUUAACUUCGAAACUGCAUUCGAUACUACCGUGCUUGAGGACUGGAGAGGAGACUGGAAUUUACGGUGUAGCGGUGAAAUGCGUAGAUAUCGUAAGGAAGACCAGUGGCGAAGGCGGGUCUCUGGACAGUUCCUGACGCUGAGGCACGAAGGCCAAGGGAGCAAACGGG
rnacentral:rRNA from 1 species